AGAAUCAACGCUGGCGGCGUGCCUAACACAUGCAAGUCGAACGCGAAAGCCCCGCAAGGGGUGAGUAGAGUGGCAAACGGGUGAGUAACGCGUGGGUGAUCUACCUCUGAGUGGGGGAUAACCGUCCGAAAGGAGGCUAAUACCGCAUCACAUUGCGCUCUUGGAUGAGUGCGUAUCAAAGCUGGAACCGCAAGGUCUGGCGCUUGGGAGAGGAGCCCGCGUCCGAUUAGCUAGUUGGUGCGGUAAUGGCUCACCAAGGCGACGAU
rnacentral:rRNA from 1 species